CCUUAGGCAAGUCAUUUUAUCUUUCUGCUACUCAUUUUCCACUCCAUACAACAAGAAUAAUUCCUACCUCAAAAGGUUUUAUGAUAAUAAAAUUAAUAUUUAUUUCAACCUUUUUUAUUUAUUUUCAGUGGUGCGAGCAUGCUAGACAAGUACUCUACCACUCAGCCACAUCUCCAGCCCAUGUUUUUUCUUUUCGUCUUGAAAAUCUGGUGAGAUGUUUGCCUAGCAAGUGAGGCUCUGGGUUCCCAUCUCCUGCACUGCAAAAAAAAGCAGAUUUCCAUUUAACUUAAUCCUAGAGAUUAACCCUAAAGGCCCUCACUCGAAUAAACUCUUUCCAAGGCUCUGAGAAGGGCCCUAACAAUGUGCUCACAGAAUCAUACUGUUUUAUACUAUAAAUUUAUAUUCCUGCUUUUGAAAUAACCACAAAAAUUGUUGACACCUCACACCCUACAAAACCUGGAUCUUCAGGACUUGGUGUUGUGAAAACAGUAUAGACUUUGGAACCAGAAGACCUGAUUCCAUAACUACUAUCUAUACAAUUAAUUCACUGGGCUCCUCUAGGCUUCAUUCCCCAAAGUAAACUGAAGGUAAUACUUAUGAGCCAGAACUGUUAUGAUAAUGAGAUAGUAUUUGCAAAGGUGAUUGGUAAUCCUUGGAAAGUGUUCUACAAGUAUUUAUGAAUUGGGCUGGGGAUGUGGCUCAAGCGGUAGCGCACUCGCCUGGCAUGCGUGCUGCCCGGGUUCGAUCCUCAGGACCACAUACAAACAAAGAUGUUGUGUCCGCCAAGAACUAAAAAAUAAAUGUCAAAAAUUAAAAAAAAAAAAAAAAGUAUUUAUGAAUUAACAUUAUUAUAGUUUAUGAAUUAAUAUUAUGUUUAUGUAUUAAUAUUUUAAAGUGCAUAAAAGGGAACUGAAAAGUAGUAAAUGGGUGGCACAAGUUAGCAAAAAUGAUAAAAUAAUGUAGGUAAAAUCCUUGCUCUUCAGGAAGAUUUUCUUCCUGAGUUAAGCCAUGAGACAUUGAUGAAAUAAACUAGGAAGUAUAGGAUCAGAAAUUUAAGUCUGAGAAGAGGAUAAAGAUCAUCUCCCAGGCUGAGGUUGUGGCUCAGCGGUAGAGCGCUCACCUAGCAUGAGCGAGGCCCUGCGUUCGAUCCUCAACACCACAUAAAAUUACAUAAACAAAAUAAAGGUAUUGUGUCUAGCC
rnacentral:lncRNA from 1 species